rnacentral:lncRNA from 1 species
AAAAGCGAAAUCCAAACUUUAUUAUGCUAGAAUGAAGAUAGGAUGAUCUUAGGACACCUUAUUGGGUGACUUAAAGUUAGGACGAAAAAUGAGAUAUGUCAUAAGUUAAGAGAGCUUCGAGAACACGACUUAGGACAAAGACUUGUCAUAAGAUAGACUUAGGACACGUCCUUAUCCUAAGAUAGCUUCGAGAACACCACCCCAGUUCUUUUAUUGAAAUAAAAUUGAUAUGUGAACCUAAAUAGAAACUGGAAUUUACUGAUAAGCCUAGGAAUGAUCACACUCUACUACGGAUUGAUUUUUUUUCACGUCGUCUUUUAUGUCACAGGAAACGAUAUCAGUAUAUGGUGGUUUAGUUGUUAUUAAUGUUGUUAGUCAGAUGUAGAAGCCGUCGCUCCGCUAGGCUCAAUUUCAGAUGAAACAUGUCCGAGGGCCC